GACUGCCACCAUCAUGGAGCCUUUCAGGAAAUUCCACAAAGAUCGAUACAUGGCAUCCCAUGGCGCCUCAAAGGCAGUUAGCAGUGGAAGCACUGCAUCUAGCUUUGAGAAAAUCCAGAAACAGGCCAAGUUCCUCGGAAAUGCUGUUCCACCUGUUUUUGCUGUCAUUGCCCG